AAGACUAUAGACCUGCGGAGUACCUGCGGAAGGAUCAUUAACGAGUUAGGGUCUUCCAAGGCCCGACCUCCCAACCCUUUGUUUACUGAACCUCUGUUGCUUCGGCGGACCCGUCUCACGACCGCCGGAGGACCGCUGAAAGGCGUCCUCUGGCCAGCGUCCGCCGGUGGCCAACCUCUUAAAACCCUGAAUGAAUCGUGUCAUGAUGUCUAAGUAAAUGAUUAAAUAAAAGCAAAACUU
rnacentral:misc_RNA from 1 species